UGCUCAGAACUGUAAGAAACAGUUUAUGAUUUGAUAUUUAGAAUCAUUCAUUGCAAGUGUUUCAGGUCUUACCAAUGAAGAUAUUCUCUUUUGGUUGGAUUGCUUGGACUUGGUGAGUCAGGAUCCACCAUCACCUAUUGCCAGUAGUCCUCCUCGAGUCUUGCUUAUGGAUCAAACACUAGAAACAAACUGGAUGCCUCUCUCCUCAAAGCUGUUGAAAGAGCUAAAGUCAUGUGUUGGCAGCGCAGCACUUUUAAGAUCUCUUCUGAUUUACCAACGUAGAUUGUGGACAAAGGUUUCAGCUUCACAAGUUCGAACUGUUUACAACAACAACAACAACAAAGCCUUUAGUCCCAAGCAAGUUGGGGUAGGCUAGAGGUGAAACCCAUAAGAUCUCGC